UAAAUUCGCAGGAUUAAAAACCGUUUUACUAAAAUGAUCAUAUCUGGAGUUCUAGAGCUCGGAUUGAGGUGAUUUCAGUGGCGUUGGAAAGAUAAUUUAAAGAUCUAUAAAUUUUGUAGAAAUAACUAUAUCAGAAUUCGUAAUUUUUCUAGGUCAAAACUAAGCCCUAAAGUUACGAGAUUGAGAGCUAACAAUUUAAAUUUAAAAGUUAGAUAUUUGUUUAUUUAAUAAUUUAUCAUAUUAUUAUUGUUAUUAUGUUAAUAUUAUUAUUAUUCAUAAAACUAAAGCUAAUAAGAUUCAGAAUAGUAUAGGUUUCAUUAACCCUAAAAUUAUAUCGUUCUAUUCUUCCCACCUAUUUGAGCAAGACUAACCCUAAAAAUUUUCAAGUCAUCUUUCCAUUACAUCCUUAGCCAAAUCUAUACCACUCUUCACUCUCAUCUUUGAUCACCAUCAUCUUAUGUCUAUCGAUCCAAGUAGCUUGAUGUAUUUGAGGUAAGAAACUCUACAUUAACUUAUUUAUUGAUCACAAUAGGAGAAUUUUCGUAGGUCUCCUUUUCUUAUUUUUCAGAAUGAAACAUGUCUCAGUAAAACUGUCAUAUCUCUUUAAAUACUCAUCUGAUUCUCGCAAUCUUAGUGUCUAUAGAAAGCUUAUUAAAUUUCCUAUAAUUCUUAUGAAGAAAGAUUUUACAGAAUCGAAAUUUAUCUAUGUCAAAAAUUAGUAUUUUUACGCUGUUUGUUGUAAAUCGUUUUUCAUAUUUUCUAUAUAAGUUGUUUCAGUAAAAUCCGAAUAUCUCUCUGAAUAAUGAUCCGAUUCUAGCGAUCUUGGUACUGUUGAAGAGAUAAUUUAAUUUUCCAAAUGUUUUAUGAAGAAACUAUUCACUAAUUAUUGAUUAUUCUAAGUCAAAAUUAUUGUUUUAUUGCUGUAGUUCGAAAUCCAUUUGUUUCAGGAUUUCUAGAAAACUGUUUCGGUAUAAUAUCUAUAUCUCUUACGUUAUAACUCCGAUUUUAAAGAUUUUAGUGUCAUUAGAAAGGGAAUUUGAUUUUCUAAAACUUUUAUGAAGAGAGUAUUCUCUGAUUUGGAAUAUUUCAGUAUCAAAACUUUGUAUUUUCGAUGUCUCCUGUGAUUCGUUACUCCAUAUUCCUUCUCAGAAAUAGUUUCAGUAAAACUAUCAUAACUCCCUCAGUUUUAAUCCAUUUUUAAUGAUCUAUAUAUCGUUGGAAAGAUAAUUAAAUUUCCUAUAAUUUUUAUGAAGGAAACUUUUACUGAAUUCGUGUAGUUAUUGGUCAAAAAUAGUAUUCUUUCUGCUGUACUGUAAGAGUGUGAAUUUUAAUGUUAGGGCCUUGACCCAUGUGUUAUUAUAGGUAGUAGUGACGAGAUAACAAGUUUAAGCAGCGGGAUUUGAGGUAUUAGACAGGGAAGUAUGUAUAGUGAGCAGGGUCAGUUCUGGUACGUAUACUGUGAGCGGCUACGGGCGGACAAACGAUCUAGAACGCCAGUGGUGCCUUAGUUUUAUUUUAAGCAGUUGAUAAAUCUAACACAGUGGAAAUGCAUUAUUUAAAAUUAUUUACUUACUGUAUCUUGUUUUACAAAUGAAGGAUCCUUCUCUGUUGCAUUUUGAUUUUUUUUAAAAUCCACUGUUGUAUUUAAAUUAUUUUUUUUUUAUCUUUUCAAAUUA